GGGCGCGCGAAGGGUUUGGCAGAGGUUUGGGCCAGUAGCUCAGUUGGUUAGAGCACACGCUUGAUAAGCGUGGGGUCGGAGGUUCAAGUCCUCCCUGGCCCAUGUCCGGCAAACGGACGGGCCCGGGGGCUGGCCUGAAGGCUGGCCGGAGCGCUGCAUCAGAUCGCGGGGGCGUAGCUCAGCUGGGAGAGCGCCUGCUUUGCAAGCAGGGGUCGUCGGUUCGAACCCGAUCGCCUCCA
rnacentral:tRNA from 1 species